GACGAACGCUGGCGGCGUGCUUAACACAUGCAAGUCGAACGGAAAGGCCCUGCCUUUGUGGGGUGCUCGAGUGGCGAACGGGUGAGUAACACGUGAGUAACCUGCCCUUGACUUUGGGAUAACUUCAGGAAACUGGGGCUAAUACCGGAUAGGAGCUCCUGCUGCAUGGUGGGGGUUGGAAAGUUUCGGCGGUUGGGGAUGGACUCGCGGCUUAUCAGCUUGUUGGUGGGGUAGUGGCUUACCAAGGCUUUGACGGGUAGCCGGCCUGAGAGGGUGACCGGCCACAUUGGGACUGAGAUACGGCCCAGACUCCUACGGGAGGCAGCAGUGGGGAAUAUUGCACAAUGGGCGGAAGCCUGAUGCAGCAACGCCGCGUGCGGGAUGACGGCCUUCGGGUUGUAAACCGCUUUCGCCUGUGACGAAGCGUGAGUGACGGUAAUGGGUAAAGAAGCACCGGCUAACUACG
rnacentral:rRNA from 1 species